AGCAGUAGCCGCGGGAAUACGAAGGGGGCUAGCGUUGCUCGGAAUGACUGGGCGUAAAGGGCGCGUAGGCGGAUGGUACAGUCAGAUGUGAAAUUCCUGGGCUUAACCUGGGGGCUGCAUUUGAUACGUAUUGUCUAGAGUGAGGAAGAGGGUCGUGGAAUUCCCAGCGUAGAGGUGAAAUUCGUAGAUAUUGGGAAGAACACCGGUGGCGAAGGCGGCGACCUGGUCCUUGACUGACGCUGAGGCGCGAAAGCGUGGGGAGCAAACAGGAUUAGAUACCCCUGUAGUCCCUGUCUCUUAUAC
rnacentral:rRNA from 1 species